CAGUGAAUAGUUUAUUAAAAUAUUAAUUUUGGAGAUUGAAGAUAAAGGAAUCUUUUUCACUGA
rnacentral:tRNA from 1 species